AACAAUAACCAAUAAUAAAAUAGAACAAUUAUAACAAUGUACUAUAAUAAAAGUUAUGUGAAUGUGGUCUCUCUCAAAAUAUCUUACUGCAACUCAUCCUUUUUCUUGUGAUGAUGUGAGGUGAUAAAAUGCCUAUGUGAUGAGAUGAAGUGAGAUGGAUGAUGGAGGCAUUUUGACGUAAAUGGAAAACUCCAGAAAUAAACAACUCGUGUCCUGUGCGUGCUCUGGUCAGACUCCCUAGAUGAGAAUCACAGCUCCACUAUGACCUGUGCAAUCUAUCUCAACCUCCAUUUCCUCAACUGUAAAAUGGAAAUUAGUAACAAUUGUUGUCAAGAUUAAAUGAGAUCAUGCAUGUACAGCAAUCAGUACAAGGCUGUAUAGUAGGCAAUGACCACCUGCUACUAUCAUUGCUAACACAAAUGUGACUGCAUCACUACCUGAUGAAAGCCUUUUACUGAAUCUACAAAGCCUCCAGAACAAAGUCUUAACGUGUUAGGCUCUCACAGCAUCUGCCAUUUACUCUUCGAAUCUUCUGCCACCCUCUGCUUUAAACACUAUGCUCCAAUACUACCAAACUCUCCACAAAUCUAUUAUCAACUUCCACUUAUUUGACAGACAUAUAUUAAAAUGCCCACUAUUGGAGUGCUGGUAAGUACUCAACAAAUUAAUUUCCCUUCCUGGGGAAUUCCAACUACCUCCUAAAAACAUGCCAACAUGAAAAAAGGCCUAUUUUCAAUCUCGUAUCUAGGAAGUGAUACAGAAUUCAGUUUCCUUAUUUGUAAAAUAAAACAGGUAAUCCUCCUUUCAUCUCAAAAAUGUGAUGCCCUGCUAAGGUGGCUGUGGAAAAAACUAAUCUUCAUAUCUACUUUAAGUCUUAAUACAUUGUUUAAAUGCACUUGAAGUACUACA
rnacentral:lncRNA from 1 species